rnacentral:miRNA from 1 species
UAGUCUCCUCGAUCGUGUUACCCA